rnacentral:rRNA from 1 species
CCUACGGGAGGCAGCAGUGGGGAAUAUUGCACAAUGGGGGAAACCCUGAUGCAGCGACGCAGCGUGAGCGAUGAAGGAUUUCGGUAUGUAAAGCUCUAUCAGCUGGGAAGAAAAUGACGGUACGUGACUAAGAAGCCCCGGCUAACUACGUGACAGCAGCCGCGGUAAUACGUGGGGGGAGAGCGUUUUCCGCCUUAAUUGGGUGCAAAGGGAGCGUAGACGGCUUGGCAAGUCAGAUGUGAAAGGCUGGGGCUCAACCUCAGGACUGCAUUUGAAACUGUCAUGCUAGAGUGUCGGAGAGGCAGGUGGAAUUCCUAGUGUAGCGGUGAAAUGCGUAGAUAUUAGGAGGAACACCAGUGGCGAAGGCGGCCUGCUGGACGAUGACUGACGUUGAGGCUCGAAAGCGUGGGGAGCAAACAGGAUUAGAUACCCGAGUAGUC